UUUGGGCAGUCAGAAAGAAAAACAGCAGGAUGAAAAGUCCUAUUUUGAGAGCUCCCUUGUCUUCAUGCAGGGGCUGCUGGCGGCGGAAACUGGCCGCAGACUGUGCUGACGGCUGUGAGGUUCAGGCUGGGAACGGCAUGUGGACAGGUCCCUCCUGCAGAUCUUCAUCUGCCUCCGGCUCUCAGGUGCUCCUUGCCCAGCACCCUGUGGUCUCACUGGGUCAAACAUCAGGGGCAUGGCAGGGACAGUCUCCAGAUAAAUGGGUUUUCCUGCAAACGUCCUGGUCAUUGACGGGCUGCUGGUUUUCCCUCUGUUGCCUGGCCGUGCUCAGGCCGUGUGCAGGAUGAGGAGUUCCUGAAGAACUGUCUGCACCCAGGGCAGAGACUACGGGGUUCUGAACCCCCUGCCUCACAGCAUCUCUGGGUGGCUGUGCUUGUUCAGUUGCCUUCUUUGAAACCCAAGCAUCCAUCCUCAACUGCCACAGACACAGGUCAAGGCCAGCCAGGAGGAGACACUGUGGGCCCCUGCCCGGUUCUCAUGGGUGUCACAUUUUGUCAGGACACGGAUCCAGGCAGGACUGGGAACGACUGACUUCACGUCCAAGUCGGUUCCCAUGUGUGGCCUCUGGGAGCUAAAAUCAUCAGCUUUCAAAUCAAACAGGUUUCAUCUGAGCUACAGAGAUGUCAUGGAGUGCUGUGUCCUCGACAGCUGUCGGUAAAGGACACAAGGGCCCUGAAGGGGCAGCAAAGGCCAUGGGAAGAUGCGGGAAAGAGCAAGUGUGGGAAGGCAGGGCAGGGCUGGCGGGCCUUCCCGCCUAAGUGCCUCAGGUACUGGAAUGCCAGCUGUGAAUAGGCAUCAUCCCACUUUUACGGAUGCAGGAUGGUAGAGACUGUGUCAGUGGCGUCUGUGUGUGUGAUGGUGGCAUUUGUUUCAGAGAAGAUCCGCGUUGGUCAGGCGGGAUCUGCCCUGCUCGUGGGCCUUGGGAGCAGAAUGGCCAAUGGGCGGUCUCUGCUCACCCAGGCCCGCUUCACUGCUGGGUGAAGGAUUCCCCAGUUUCCUGGAAGUGCACUUGCCUCCCGAGGUCCCUUUGGCUGUGACUUCCCUGUCAUGAUGCUUCCUAGGAAUGCAGAACAGAUUCAGGUCAGUGUGUUCUGAGGCAGCUGAGUGUUGCAUGAGUGGCAGCAUCCGCAAACCUCGGUGCCAAACCAGGGUCACCUGUGCCCACUCGCAGCAGCUGAUAGGUGUGAGCUGAUCCUUCGCUUCUCAGGUGGGGGCCUCACGGGGCUGGCCUGCUCCCUGGACCCCCAGGCCUCCUCAUGCAAUGGCCCCCCUCCUCUGUUCUGGCGAAGUUCCCUUCCUGCCUGGCUCUAUCCUCAAAGUCUGGGCACAGAAUGGAGGCUGGCCCGUGUGGUUAUCUGGUCUACACGCAUGUCUUUGAGUUUGUGGGGGUGGUGGCUUGUGGGCCCAGAGCAGUAAACAAGGUGUCUGUCUUGUCUUGAAUUUUGAGGCUGAACUGUCUGGAAUUCUUGGACGUUCUCAAGCUAAUUCAGUUGCAUGAAUUUAGAGGCAAAAGGUGGGGAUAAUUUUCCCUUAGAUUUGUCAGUUCCAAGAUGACACACUUUAGUAUUCCAGAAAAUAGAUUUAUACCCGAUCGAGAAUUCUCUCUCUCACACACACAGACACACACACACGAACACACACACAUACCCCCCACACAUGUACACAUAGUAGGAGUUCAGGCCAAUUACAAAGGUCAGGGACACAGUCCACACAAGGCCUCACACUGGUACCAAUCAAGUUCAGGUGCUCAAGGCCACUCAGGUUCAGUGAUUCACUGGAAGGACUCCUAGAAUGCCCUGAAAGCUGUUACACUCAGUUAUGGUUUCUGUGUUAGACCAUUCUUGAAUUGCUGUGAAGAAAUGCUCAAGUCUGGGUAAUUUAUGAAGGAAAGAGGUGUAGUUGGCUUCCUCGAGGCCUCAGGAAGCCUCCAGUCAUGGCAGAAGCCAGAGGGGAGCCGGUGUGCCUGUGUGGGAGCAGUCUUAAUAUAUCAGUUCCUUACUGGGAAAGGAUACAGAUUAGGAUCGGCCAGAGGAGGGGAGGCGGUGGGCAGAGUCCAAGGAAAGUCCCCCAGGUGGAGCUCCUGCUGCCCCUCCCUGCGGGACUGGGACUCGUGACUCUCCUGCGUUGAUGUGGUGGCAUGAGUGAGGGCCAGCCUCAACCUGCAGGGUCCAGGUUCUCAUUAGGGCUCUGCUAUAUGGCUUGGCUGAUGGAGUGACCACCUGAGUGGUCAGCCCCUGUCCCUGGGCCGAUUGAUGCCAUGUGGCUUCCGUCCCCCACCCUCGGCUACAUGGCUGGUCUUUCUGACAUGGCCAGUCCCACUCUGACAGCAUCUCGGUGGCUGACCCCACCCUGUCACAUCACUGGACUCUUGGGUAUGACCCAAGGCCCUGGGCAAACAGUGACUCCUGUCAAGCAGGACAUUGUGGAGGCCAGUUCCCAGAGGUUGAGGACAAAGGCCAGGCCUGUUUGGGGCAGGAUUACGUCCUUUACAGCAAACCUUCCUGCCCACAUGCACAAGUGAAGCCAGGAGAAAAGGGAGUAGCGUGUCUCCCCAGUGGGUCCGGAACACCCCUUUUCGGAGGCUGCUUGGAACUUUCUUAUCUCUUUUUAUUUCUGAUUUCUGUUGAAAUUCCCUAGAACUAAUGCCUAUUGUGUGUACCCGAUUACAAAGGGAAUGAUUUUCCAGAGCAUUUUUCCUGUCAGGAAAAAGGAGGCACCCUGCAUUUUUCUCAGCGAGAGAGAAAGGUUCUUUUGAAUAAUUUUUUAAUUUACUAAAAAAUUUCUGAUCCAACUGCUAAGGGGUUGCAGCCUUCCUGCAGAGAAGCAUGCAGAUGAUGCUGUUUAAUGUUUGCAUGGCGCAGAGCACGGCCUGUUGCAGCCCAGGGGGUGUGCACCAUGGUGCUUUAAAGUGACUCCUGCCCUGUCAUUGGGUGAGGAGAACGGGUCCCCAGGCUGUGAAGGCCUCGUCCCUCCUCACAACCAUAGGAACCAGGGUGAGGUCCCUCUCUUGGCUGGACCCAGUUUGACCCGGACUGUUCUCCAGACCAGAGGCUCAGUGAAAAUGAGCUACCCUCCCCCGAGAUGUUGUUAUUCAUUUCUUCCUGGGGUCUAAAAAAAGUCAAGUAUUUUAAGGUCCGUGGAGUGUAAAUGCUUUAGUGCCCGUAGCACCUGCGUCUGCGGUGAUCGGCACCCAUGGGGUAGGGCGUUGCAUCCAGUGAGAUGUUCAGCGUCACGUUCCCAGUGGGGCUUUUGCUAUUAGUGGCUUUUAAAAUUCUGCUGCCAGGAUGCCCAGCAUCAGGGACAUUCGAUUUCCUGAAACAGCAGGGCUGCCUUUGAGCUCCUUGGUCCACGCCCAGAGUUUCCAGUUCUCUCCUGAGCCAGGCACUGGGUCCCAGAGAGUCUCUUGAGAAUGACAGAGACACAGGAUGCCUGUGCUCGGAAGCCGUGCGGCGCCCCAGCCUAGCCACCCCAAGUUCUAGCAGUAGCAGGCUCCCACCUGCACAGAGAGCAGGCUGUCUAUCUGCACCAGUGGGGAGGCGGGCAUUCUGGGAGAGGAGGGGCCCUGGCUGGGUGGCCACGCCGUGGGUGGUGCUGAGGACCCACCGGUGGCCUAGCCCCCUGAGGGCUGCAUGUUUUGAGGAGGCCCCACCUUGGGCCUGGCACGGAUCCUCUUCCCCAGAUCAUCUCAUGAUUCUCAGGGCAACCCUGUGAGACAGAUGAGUUCUUUCAUUGCCCACUGUUGACACCUGCGGAGGUGGAGGUGCAGGGAGGGGACACAUCUUGCUCAGGAUCACACAGCCAGGAUGUGCCGAGGCUGAGCUAGACCUGGACUCCCCCGCUUCAUGGCCAUGUGGGUUUCUGCAGGGCACCCUUCCCCCAGGAGGGCUGGUGUAGACCUGUGUUGAGUGCGGGACAGCCACCUGGAGAGCCACCCUUGGCCUUCAUAGGUAGGAGCCAGCCCUAGUGUCUUCGGUCCUGACGCCAGGGGGCAGGAUGAGACAGGGGAAUGGAGCCUGUGCUGCAGGUGUUGCCGUCUCGCUGGCCUUUCCUGGGCCGCCGCUGCCGGCCGUCACUCUUGGUUCCCAGGAUGGCUCUCGGGAAGGGUACCUGGGUGGUCCCCGGCGGCAGGCGGGGCCCAGAACCACACAGCUCCGUUGUUCACUGAAGGCCUUCAGAGUGUUCUGCGCAGGCUGGGAUGGGGGCGGCAGCUGCCUCAGUGGAGAAUGUGAAUCUUUGGCUUCUCAGCCUUGCCCCUGGCUCUGCUUUGGGGCCUUUGCUUCUGGGCAUGAGCCCCCCUGCCCCCGACCUCCAGUCCAGCAGGAAGAGUGGGCACCACUGGCCAGGUCCCCCCAGCUCCGCCUUCUGGAGAGCGCCAGUGCCGGGAGCAGAAUGAAGCCUGCGUGGGUGCUCCUCCUGUCCGUCCUGAGCCAGGGCUGAGGUUUUCAGCAGCUGCAACGCCACAGGACCUGUGAGGAGAGAUGGCACGUGAAGGUCUGGUGGCCGGCAGACUCUACGCAAAGGAGGCCUGGGAGUGCCAUCCUGAAGGCCCCACUCUCCUCAGGGCCAGCUGCUGGCCAUGGGUCAGACAGAUCACUGCGACCCCACAGCCAAUGCAAGCAGAUGCAAGCGUGGUUGUUCCUUGUCCAGGGAGCUGCUACCUCGGGCUGCCAGGGCCUGGCAUCUAGUGGGCACAGCCAAGCCCACGGGAGCAGAGCCGUGGCUUCCAGGGGCACAUGAUGCUGGCCUGACCUGGGCUGGCUGAGGGGCCCAGCCCGGGCAGGCAUCUGGGCUCCCCUCAAGCAGACUGCCUGUCUGCUGCCUCAUCUCCCGGGAGCAGAGCCUCAGCCUGCCUAGGUGCAGGUCAUCCACACAGCUUGGCCACACCCAGGCCACCUCACAGUCACAGCCAUGCCACCUGCUGAGCCCCGAGAUGUGUGGGCCACAUGCUGGCUGGCUGCUUCUGCUGUGUUCCUGCCACAGCUCUCCCCAGCUCUGUGGGCUGGAACCAGGAGAGGUGAAGGGGAGGCUGGGCAGAGGCAGGCUGGGCAGAGGCAGGCUCUUGCUCUUGGAGGCAGACGUGGGUUUCGGUGCCGCCCAGCUCUGACACCCAGGUCGGAGCUGCUGCCCUUCACAGUCCAGCACAUUUCUGGUCCUGUCUCAGGCCUACUCCUUGAACCUGCCUCUGACCUCAUGGGAGUGGGUUUCUCUGGCGACCAGACCCUGUGUGGCCUUCUGCUUACGCCUCUGCCAUCUCAUGGCACUGGGGGCUCAGUGACCCCAGUUGGACCUUGCUCUGUGGGAAGCAGCCUGGGGGCUACAGGAGGCAAUGUGGGGGUCACCCCAUCUCUUUGGAGUUGGAUACAACCUCCCGUCUGGCCUUAACUGUGCUGACUCCUGACCUCUGACCUUCAAGCCUCCAGGCUCGGUCCAACUGGUAACUUUAAAGGACACGGCCUCUUGGUGUCUGGGCGGGACCCAUGGAUCGGUAUGGGAGGGCAGCUGGAUACACUUUCUGGGGUCCUCUGGACUCAGGGGGUGCUGUAAUCCCCUCCUCUUUCUGGUGACCUGGUAGGGACACCUCCUCCCAGGGACACCCUGCAGGCCAAGCCCAGGUCCCCAGGUCGCCCUCUCUCUUCCAAGCAUUUGAAAGACACUGACAGAUGAUAAUGCUUCCCCUCUUCCAAGCAUUUGAAAGACACUGGCAGAUGAUAAUGCUUCCCCUCUUCCAAGCAUUUGAAAGACACUGGCAGAUGAUAAUGCUUCCCCCUCCUCCCAUUUAGGGAAAGGCCUGAAAGUAAAAUUGUAUCCACAUUAGGUUUGGCUGAUGUUGCCAUCAGGUAAACCUGAUGUUAAUGAAGCCGGGAGGUUCUCUUGUGCGGUAUUUGGACAGGCUUGGCGUGGAAACCACCUGAGGUAUUGUUGAUCCAUCUGUUCAUCAAGUCGGUUUUUUUUUUUUGAGAUGGAGUCUCACUCUGUUGCCCAGGCUGGAGUGCAGUAGCGCAAAUCUCAGCUCGCUGCAACCUCCGCCUCCCGGGUUCUCCUGCCUCAGCCUCCCAAGUAGCUGGAAUUAUAAGCACACACCAACACACCUGGUUAAUUUUUAAUAUUUUUGGUUGGGAUGGGGUUUUGCCAUGUUGGCCAGGCUGUCUCAAACUCAAGUGAUCUGCCCACCUUGGCCUCCUAAAGCGCUGGGAUUAUAGGUGUGAGCCACCGUGCCUGGCAUGUUCAUCAAGUUUUUAUUGAGUAUCUAUUGUGUGCUGGUAUUGAGGUAGACUGGGGAUCACAGCAGUGAAUGUGGCUGCCUGAAUGCCUCGUGAAGGCAGGGGUCUCACCGGGGAGAUGGAAAUGAACAGCAAACCCACAUUGAGGUUGGUCCCAGCAUCUGAGACCACACCAAGGGCGAAGGAGGGGCUGGCAGUGCUGAGGCAGGGCUGCGUCUCUCAGCAUCCUGAUGGGAAACCAUCUCUGGCGGGAAAGCCAGGGAUCCAUGCAUGAGUGCAGUGAUGAGGCUGCCCACAGGGAUGUCACAGGAUGCGAGAAUCAGCCAAAACCUAUGGCCCCUGCAGCCACUGAGGGCUUGAGGGAGCCCUACGUGGUGACAUCCAGGAAUGUGGCUGAGCGUGGGUGUUGACCUUGCCGUUUGCUGGAGUGUUUGGGUCCUUGGACCAUGUCAGUGACAGCUGUGUCACCAUGGCCUCGCUGUCCCCAGGAAAACCUUCCUUUAGUAACUAACGCGUCCUCUGGAACCCCAUGCCUAUCUUCUGGGACUCUCGUCCUCCUCCUUUGUCUGACCCCGGGGGAUUACAGUUUCCCCAGUGCAGCUCUGGCUGUGGCCCUCAGCCCUGCUCUGGUUGGCCAUGUCAGUGUCCUCCCUCGGCGUUCCAAACACUCUGCCUGGCUCUACGAUGGCCACAGGCUUCCCUUGACUCCUACAUGCCCCAGAAAGGGAAGACAUUCCAGAGGAACUGUGACUCCCACCAUUCUGCACAGUCAUGGGUCCCUCCUCCACCCAGGCCCUCCAUGGGAUUUCUGUCCACAUCCCCAGCUAGUGACCCCUCCCAGUCCCCACAGCUGGACCACCCCUCCAUCCCGAGCAUUCCGACACCUGCGUCUCUGUCACUACAGCCAGAGGGCUGGAGUGUCUUCUGUCAGCUCUCCAUCUCUGCCAUGGCUGGGAGCUAUGUGUCCCAGA